rnacentral:lncRNA from 1 species
CCCAAACCAAUCCCUUUGGACACUGAGUGGCAGCCCUGGGCCCUUCACCUUCCCACAGUGCAAAUGCAACUGCUCUUUUCUGUCACCAGGUCCUGAGGUUCUUGGUUUCUAGAGUCCUUCCAUGUGCCCAUCAUUGCUUCUGUGACUGCAGCUCCGGCUGGUGGGACCCCAUCUUCUAACAGGAGACUAGAGGAAGGGACUGGCGCCGCUUCAUGGCUUCUUCUGUCUGGAGGAUGCCCUUUGCAGACACAGUGCUGCCGGGCUCCACAGCCUCCAGGGCUGAGGCUGCAGGUGAGGCCCCUCCAUGCCUUCUGGGAAGCUGGCCACACCUGACAUAGCCAGCACUGCUCAGAGCUCUCCAACUUUGUGCCGCUUUGGGGCAUUCUGGGCCAAUUACUACUUUCGAUGCACUCUAAUAUGUUCUGAUGUCUGACAAUGACCCAUGAACUUGAUUGCAGGACCCACAGUGAAUGAAGCAUGGUCCUCAGACUGAGAGACAUUUCAUUCUCGGUACUCAGUUCUUUGGUACCUAUAAUGGAAGGCAUUUUUCUAUGAGGACAUUUAUAUUCAUGUAUAUUAUAGAUGUAAUUUUAAGUGUGAUCCUUCUCUGCUCUUUUCUAAUGUGCUUUCCUGUAUUUAACUGUUUCUCAUGUGAGAAUGAAUGUGCUUUAGUCCUAACAUCUGCAUAGUAUUCCAUCACAUCCUGUUCACCUAAUUUCAUUAACCAAUUAAACUCCUGAUGGGCAUUUGUCUUAUUUCUAGUUAUUUUGCUCCCGAUGAGCAUGUUUACCUACUUGGGGGAUUAAUGCUUUGAGUCUUCUAUGGGAGAUGGGUUUUAUUUAGUGAGAGAUAUCUAGAUUUUGGAAACAUUGGGGAAUGGCUUGGCAGUGGGUUUCUUUGACUGUUGUAAGAGACAUUUUUCCAGGCCUGAGUGUUUCUGACUGCGGGCUCUGUGGAUGCACAGAGGGCUCAGAGUCAUCUUCCUCGCCGUGUGGAUUUUGGAUGGGGAUGGCCAGAGAGAGCGGUGAGUAAACCUGCUGUGCGUGAUGGGAAGGAACUAGAGAAGAUUUUGCAGGAACACCGGACCUGAGCUUCAGGUCUUCCUGGGAAAUGCCUGGCACCAGACACAUGAAGUUGUAAUGGACAUCCUGAGUGGGCACAGCUGGAAAACCUGAGCAGCACUCGGGGAGCAGUCCUCCU